rnacentral:rRNA from 1 species
GGGUUGUGAGGUUAAGCGACUAAGCGUACACGGUGGAUGCCCUGGCAGUCAGAGGCGAUGAAGGGCGUACUAAUCUGCGAUAAGCGCCGGUAAGGUGAUAUGAACCGUUAUAACCGGCGAUACCCGAAUGGGGAAACCCAGUGUGAUUCGUCACACUAUCAUUAACUGAAUCCAUAGGUUAAUGAGGCGAACCGGGGGAACUGAAACAUCUAAGUACCCCGAGGAAAAGAAAUCAACCGAGAUUCCCCCAGUAGCGGCGAGCGAACGGGGAGGAGCCCAGAGCCUGAAUCAGCAUGUGUGUUAGUGGAAGCGUCUGGAAAGGCGCGCGAUACAGGGUGACAGCCCCGUACACAAAAGCGCAUGUGCUGUGAGCUCGAUGAGUAGGGCGGGACACGUGGUAUCCUGUCUGAAUAUGGGGGGACCAUCCUCCAAGGCUAAAUACUCCUGACUGACCGAUAGUGAACCAGUACCGUGAGGGAAAGGCGAAAAGAACCCCGGCGAGGGGAGUGAAAAAGAACCUGAAACCGUGUACGUACAAGCAGUGGGAGCACAGGUUUACCUGUGUGACUGCGUACCUUUUGUAUAAUGGGUCAGCGACUUAUAUUCUGUAGCAAGGUUAACCGAAUAGGGGAGCCGGAGGGAAACCGAGUCUUAAUUGGGCGUUAAGUUGCAGGGUAUAGACCCGAAACCCGGUGAUCUAGCCAUGGGCAGGUUGAAGGUUGGGUAACACUAACUGGAGGACCGAACCGACUAAUGUUGAAAAAUUAGCGGAUGACCUGUGGCUGGGGGUGAAAGGCCAAUCAAACCGGGAGAUAGCUGGUUCUCCCCGAAAGCUAUUUAGGUAGCGCCUCGUGAAUUCAUCUCCGGGGGUAGAGCACUGUUUCGGCUAGGGGGCCAUCCCGGCUUACCAACCCGAUGCAAACUGCGAAUACCGGAGAAUGUUAUCACGGGAGACACACGGCGGGUGCUAACGUCCGUCGUGAAGAGGGAAACAACCCAGACCGCCAGCUAAGGUCCCAAAGUCAUGGUUAAGUGGGAAACGAUGUGGGAAGGCCCAGACAGCCAGGAUGUUGGCUUAGAAGCAGCCAUCAUUUAAAGAAAGCGUAAUAGCUCACUGGUCGAGUCGGCCUGCGCGGAAGAUGUAACGGGGCUAAACCAUGCACCGAAGCUGCGGCAGCGACGCUUAUGCGUUGUUGGGUAGGGGAGCGUUCUGUAAGCCUGCGAAGGUGGCCUGUGAGGGUUGCUGGAGGUAUCAGAAGUGCGAAUGCUGACAUAAGUAACGAUAAAGCGGGUGAAAAGCCCGCUCGCCGGAAGACCAAGGGUUCCUGUCCAACGUUAAUCGGGGCAGGGUGAGUCGACCCCUAAGGCGAGGCCGAAAGGCGUAGUCGAUGGGAAACGGGUUAAUAUUCCCGUACUUGGUGUUACUGCGAAGGGGGGACGGAGAAGGCUAUGUUGGCCGGGCGACGGUUGUCCCGGUUUAAGCGUGUAGGUGUGUGUUCCAGGUAAAUCCGGUUCACUUUAACACUGAGGCGUGACGACGAGGCACUACGGUGCUGAAGCAACAAAUGCCCUGCUUCCAGGAAAAGCCUCUAAGCAUCAGGUAACAUCAAAUCGUACCCCAAACCGACACAGGUGGUCAGGUAGAGAAUACCAAGGCGCUUGAGAGAACUCGGGUGAAGGAACUAGGCAAAAUGGUGCCGUAACUUCGGGAGAAGGCACGCUGACACGUAGGUGAAGUGAUUUACUCAUGGAGCUGAAGUCAGUCGAAGAUACCAGCUGGCUGCAACUGUUUAUUAAAAACACAGCACUGUGCAAACACGAAAGUGGACGUAUACGGUGUGACGCCUGCCCGGUGCCGGAAGGUUAAUUGAUGGGGUCAGCGCAAGCGAAGCUCCUGAUCGAAGCCCCGGUAAACGGCGGCCGUAACUAUAACGGUCCUAAGGUAGCGAAAUUCCUUGUCGGGUAAGUUCCGACCUGCACGAAUGGCGUAAUGAUGGCCGGGCUGUCUCCACCCGAGACUCAGUGAAAUUGAACUCGCUGUGAAGAUGCAGUGUACCCGCGGCAAGACGGAAAGACCCCGUGAACCUUUACUAUAGCUUGACACUGAACAUUGAGCCUUGAUGUGUAGGAUAGGUGGGAGGCUUUGAAGUGUGGACGCCAGUCUGCAUGGAGCCGACCUUGAAAUACCACCCUUUAAUGUUUGAUGUUCUAACGUGGACCCGUUACCCGGGUUGCGGACAGUGUCUGGUGGGUAGUUUGACUGGGGCGGUCUCCUCCUAAAGAGUAACGGAGGAGCACGAAGGUUGGCUAAUCCUGGUCGGACAUCAGGAGGUUAGUGCAAUGGCAUAAGCCAGCUUGACUGCGAGCGUGACGGCGCGAGCAGGUGCGAAAGCAGGUCAUAGUGAUCCGGUGGUUCUGAAUGGAAGGGCCAUCGCUCAACGGAUAAAAGGUACUCCGGGGAUAACAGGCUGAUACCGCCCAAGAGUUCAUAUCGACGGCGGUGUUUGGCACCUCGAUGUCGGCUCAUCACAUCCUGGGGCUGAAGUAGGUCCCAAGGGUAUGGCUGUUCGCCAUUUAAAGUGGUACGCGAGCUGGGUUUAGAACGUCGUGAGACAGUUCGGUCCCUAUCUGCCGUGGGCGCUGGAGAACUGAGGGGGGCUGCUCCUAGUACGAGAGGACCGGAGUGGACGCAUCACUGGUGUUCGGGUUGUCAUGCCAAUGGCACUGCCCGGUAGCUAAAUGCGGAAGAGAUAAGUGCUGAAAGCAUCUAAGCACGAAACUUGCCCCGAGAUGAGUUCUCCCUGAGACUUAGAGUCUCCUGAAGGAACGUUGAAGACGACGACGUUGAUAGGCCGGGUGUGUAAGCGCAGCGAUGCGUUGAGCUAACCGGUACUAAUGAACCGUGAGGCUUAACCUUACAACGCCGAAG